CUAAAGGGAGGGAGAAAGAAAACAGCAGCAGAGGGAAGGGAAGCCAGGGGCAGAGAGAAGAGGGGGGAAGAGCUCAGGGUUGAACAUUUUUGGAGCUAGGGGUGGGGAGGAGAAAGAGAGCGCGCCUCCUUGAUUUUCCCCUCCCCACCCCUCUUUGCUUUUCUCUCCCGUUCGCUGUAUAGCAUUUUCCAGAAGCAGCAGCAGAAUGGGACUGAAGCCUCUGGUCUAGAAAACGGAUUUGGAGGGGUGGCAGGGGCUCCCACCAGCCGCUACCUUACAGCUAGUGCUUGAGUGUGCGUGUCAGCGUGUGAAUGCGGUCCUCUCGCUCCCUCUCUUUCUCUCUCCCCGGCGCCCGCUUCACACCACCGUGUCAGCUCUCCCUGUCAGUUUCCCCGUGUCAGUUUAUUCUCUUGCUUAUUGUGUUUGGCUGGCUGCGUGAAGGGACUGCGAGCAUUUGGGGGGCUCACGCUGGGUCCGAGAGCCCCAGGAGAAGCGAGCGAGAACACGGCAGGGGCACGGGUGGAGCAAAGAGUUUCGGGGCGCUGGUGAAGGCAAAAGGUGAGAAGGUCUGGCCAGUUGGGAACUUUGAGAUAACUGAAGAGGGGAAAAGGAAACGAAGGUAGGAAGCAGUACUUGUGCUCCUCUCUGCGUCCCGCCCCUUUUUUUCCCUAUUCUCACCCGCCCACCCACUCGGCAGCCUCCAGGCCCCCGGCUGUCCCAGGCGGCUGCUGUUUUUGCGCCACGGAAGACCAGUCCAGGAAGGCUGCCGCGGCACCUCGCGCCCUAGUCCACCGAUCCCAGACUACACAGAUCCGAGGAAACCACUUGGCCCGGGGUAAGUUGACAGGCGGCUUGGAGUCGUCCGCUUUGCUACCCUUGGGGCGGUGAGGAGCGGGUUUAAUGAAGGUGCUGGGUUGAUGUAAACUGGGAGGCGCUGGCUGGCUGACUGGCUGUGAGCUCCAGGUGGUGGGGAGCAAGGAGAGGCCAGCAACAGAUUGUUUUGGGACACGGGCAAAAGAAAUACAACCAGGGAGAGGGCGUUAAGGGUUCUAGGACCAAAUGUUGAUGGCAAUGAUUAAAAGCAUCCUUCUCACUGCUACUGUUCUCCUAAACCAGAGCUUUGCCAUACCACUGCAUGGAUAGUGAUUUGUUCCAUCCUUGGGUAGAUAUUAAGCUCCCCCGAACCUGCUCCCAGGUUUCCUCAAAAUGGGCAAGGGAUGGGUUAGGAAAAAGGAUACUUGUUCUUCAACAAUAUCAAUCUUCAGCUGUAAAGAGCCAGGGUUCAUGAGGGCUCAGGGACCAGAGCCCCUCAUUUAGCUUCUUUCUGUUUUUGCAUCUUUCAAACUUAAGAAAGGGCCAGAUUCGUUUGCCUGGCUUCCUUAAAGAAACCAGGAAAUGCAAAUGGGCAGGGGCAAUCACUGUAGUCCAAAGUGGACAGCUCCCAAACCUCCCCCACAUGCUUUGACUUGGACAAAUAGCUAUGAUCAUGUCCCACAUAGGCAAGUCCUGAGCUGAAUUCCCAGAUCCUGAUCUUUCUUCAUGGUUUCUGAAAAUGAGCCUGGGAGAAGGUGUUUUUUUGUUUGUUUUUUUUUUCCCCGUUACCAACCUGGCCUAUUUGGGCCAUAGUUAUGCGUGGUGAUAGCCAAGUGUUUAGCAAGGUUAUCACUCCCUUAUGAAAAGCCUGGCGCUGGGAAACCAGCCCAGAAGACAGAUUCUCUGAACUUUACCCGAGUUUAUUAUAUAAGUGGGAGAGACACAUACUAAUCAAUAAUUCUCCCCUUAGAGACUGUGCAUGUUAGCCAUGGCUUCAAAUGAGGAAUAAUUGCUACAUUCAUAAUGGCAUCCAGACACAUUGGCCUAUUGUCAUAUAUUUAUUUUCAUGGCAUUUACUAAGAAUGACAUGUUUAUAUAUCAGCAUUCAUAAUUUUCUAUUGUUGAUCUCUUAGAUUUUUUGAUGAUGUACAGAUGAACUAUGUCGUGUCUCAUUUCUCAUAAACUCUUAAAAAGCUGAGAUUUAAAUGAUGUCGAAUAGUGCCUUUCAUUCAGUCUUUGAAAUAUGUUUAUUCUGAAUUGAAAGGCAUGGUAAUACAAUCAUAUAGUACCAAGUUGAUUUUAAAGCAAAUGUUUAGUCUGAGAUAAAGGAAACGCAGGAUCCAUUUGUGAGGUUGAAAGAAGAACCAAAUGCCACUUGAAAUCUAUAUUUUGGUUCCAGGGAGGUGCUAUUUUCAUAAACUUUUAGACUAUGUAACUAUAUGCACAGUUGAUCUGUGUGUGUGUGUGUGAGUGUGUGUGUGUGUGUGUGUGUGUGUAGUUUUUCAAGGACUCCAAUCAAUCCUGUACAAUUCAGGUUCUGUGUUUCUAUAGCUGAGGGGGGGGGGGUCAAAUUUGUGCUUCCAAAGCAUCCUGGAUUUUCUGUUGAACUUUCCAUUUAUUACUAUGUUAUUGAAAUACAAUGAAUUACCUCCUUCCAACUAAGCAAAUGAGAGAAACAGACUCUGCAUUAAGUGAGACUGUUUACGUUGCAUUGGGCAAUUUGUUCUAAUGCUCACUGCGGAGAGACAGAGCGGAAUGGGGAUUACUAACAUAGGAUCUGAAAAGGUGUCCAUUCUGUUACUCUUUGGGGGUCAAUCAUGAGCAUAUAUCUACUUAGGUUAAAAUUACACUUUCCCAUAGAUAGCAAAGACAAGAUUGCAGACAGCUAGGAAAGAAGCAACAGCUUCAUGAUUGGGGAAGAACUCAAAGUAUCAACAGGAAUGAAGCUUAAGGUGUAGUGGUUUUUUGCUGUGUUCCAGCUGAUGUGUGUAGUUGCUGAAAUGGGCUGUGACCUAUGGUUAUUCCUAAGACAAGGAGGGGGGCAGGUGCAGGAAUUUGGAAUCAAUGUAGCCCCCAGAUUCACUAAUACAGACUCACCUGAUUUCAGUGUAUGCUUCAACAUAGUGGCCUGGAUCAGAUGAUAUCUAUCAUCCCUUCCAACCAUGAGAGCUAUGAUCCUAUGAUUCUAGUCAUUGUAAAGCUAACAACUAAAACAAGAAUGACAUGCAGAACCACAGUGUUUAGAGAAGGCCAGACCAGGAAAUUGGAGAUGCAGAAGGGAGAAAGAGAAGAGAAAUAGGAAAACCAAAGAUGUUUUGAAACACAUGGAAGGAAAACUAUCCAGAUGUUUGCUUUGACUGGGAAUGGAAUCAGUUCAGAAAAUCAACUGAAAUGCGAAGUACCUUAAAAUUGUCUGUGGUUUGACUUGUAAACACUGAGUAAACAGUAAUAGAAUUCCUUAGAACCAGGGAAUUGGGAACCUUGGAGUGCAUUUUCAGUGUUGUCAUCUCAUUUCACUUUUUAGCUUAUUAAAUUCCAAUCUAUAAACCAUUCAGGUGCUUAAUUAUCAAAUGAAUAUUUCAAAUGUGCCACGCUAUUUCCCUCCAGCCUGCUGCCAAAUAUUCUAAUUUGUCUUUUGCCAUGAUUCCAUAACCGAAGGAGAGGAACCAAAGAAGCAUUUCUGUCUGCUCUUCCUCCACCAAAUGUUCGUGUUUUCAGAUGAGGUACACUAAGCCAUUCAGACAGAUGCAGUCUGCUAGCUAGUAGGGGAAAAGGGAGGACAAGGCCUCUCUCCUCAAGAUGCCCCAGGCCCUAAGAUGCCACCAACUAAUCUGGCCCAGUCAUUUUCUAGGUUUCCAGGGAAGAAUAUGACAAAGUUUUCAGUCUGCAGACAGAAUUGACGCUCCACUCUAGGCUGUAGUUGCAGCUAAUUAACUGCAGAUCCAGGCUAAACUGACGUUAGCCAUCAUUUCCAGAGCUUAGUAACUGAUAUAUCCAUAUUGUCAAGCUUUCUAAAACUCAUGAAGCUUUCCUCCUGUGGAUGGGCCCCUCAGACUCUGUCCAGUGAGACCACAAGACCCAUCCUGCCAACAAGGAAUGAGUCCUGAAUGAUUCAACCAUUGUCUCAUAAACAAACAUGUACAUCAUCCUCAACUGAGUGAGAACAGAUGAUUUUUUUUAAAUUAAAAGCUGGUGAGGUUAAGCAAUAAUUGCAGUCACUGGGUCAGGAAAAUUCUGCAAGUUCCCUAGGUUUAGUUCUCCUUUACCCAUUGAAGAGAUGGCUCUUGGAUGCCAGUGCAAUUACCACGGCUUUUUGCCUUAGGAGAGGCAAAGAAAAAAAUGAUGAUGAGAAAAAAGCAGGGAUCUUGGCAGGGUCCAAUCCCCUUUCACCUGUAGAGAACCUAAGACUCAGAGAGUAGAAAUAGCUGGCCUAAAUCUAGCUUGACAAAGGCAAAACCAGAAUCCAAGACUGUCUAUUGCUAUAGAAUAAAUUUUCUACAGCUCUCUGGAGAUCUUGCCAAUAAAUUUAGAAGAAUCAAAAGCAAAGUUUACCAAGAUCACAACCUUCUAAUUCCAUUUAAUGUGUAUAUUGAAUGUUUAUAUUACAUGUUAUUCCCAUACUUUGUUUUUCACUUUCUCACCCACCACCUUUCUUCAAUACACACACACACACACACACACACACACACACACACCCCUAUCCUGCUAGCCAAGAAAGCAUGACAUAUGCUGACAUAUGCCUACAACUAGCAUGUUCAGGUGGAGGUCAGAAUUAAACAUGACAAAAUUUUAGUGGCUCACAUUUAUGUAGCUAAUCUGGUUUAUACUACCAAUAACAAGACUCCUAGAAAUCCCAGUCUCCAAUGCUCCUUUGUAGUUUUGGGGAAUGGAAGCUGGUGGAAUACAAUGACUUUGGUUCUUGCUUUCUUUACUCAUUCUGAGAAUCAGCACCUUUAAUUGCAUGUGUGUGUGUGUGCACAUGCCUGUGUGUAUGUGUGUUUGUGUGCAUAUGUGCACAAACAUACACAUUUCUUGAAAGAUUAAAACAAAGGAAAUAGAAAAGAAAGACAGAUGAGUUUUAUGUCAGAAAUGAGAAGAUGAAAAGUUUCCAGAAUGGUCAUUAUCAUCUGCCUCUGUCCUUUACUCUUGCUUAGUUUCCACUAAUCCUACCACAAUUUCUUUUAGGGCCUGGGGAAAUAGGCCAAUGCAAAUAUGUCUACUAUAGUCCAAGGAGCUCUGGUGGCACAAUAGAUUAAUGUGCAGUGCUUAUGGAACAAAUGUAUCUUCCAGGAUAAUAUGAAGAACUUCCACACUAUAGGAAGGACAUCACUGAAUUAGAAGAGACUCUUCUAAGAGCUAUCUGUAAAUGCAGAAUUUCGGGCCCUUCUCCAGACCUACUGAAUCAGAAUCUGCUUUUAAUGAAGAUCUCCAAUGAUUCAUGUUCAUAGCAAAAUCUGAAAAGCAAUGGACUAGAGAUUAUUCAAAAAAAGCAUUUGAAAUUCAUUUGAAAAUAAACAAUGACCUACAAGGGAUGUAGGGACAAUUC
rnacentral:lncRNA from 1 species